AAGGAUUUAGUUUAAGUUAAAACAUUAACUUGUCAAGUUAAAGAUAUUUACUUAUAGUAAUCCUUA
rnacentral:tRNA from 1 species